rnacentral:rRNA from 1 species
UACGUAGGGUGCGAGCGUUGUCCGGAAUUAUUGGGCGUAAAGAGCUCGUAGGCGGUCUGUCGCGUCGCUGUGAAAACUCGGGGCUCAACCCCGAGCCUGCAGCCGAUACGGGCAGACUAGAGUUCGGCAGGGGAGACUGGAAUUCCUGGUGUAGCGGUGAAAUGCGCAGAUAUCAGGAGGAACACCGGUGGCGAAGGCGGGUCUCUGGGCCGAUACUGACGCUGAGGAGCGAAAGCGUGGGGAGCAAACAGG